GAUGAAGAACGCAGCGAAAUGCGAUACUUGGUGUGAAUUGCAGAAUCCCGUGAACCAUCGAGUCUUUGAACGCAAGUUGCGCCCGAAGCCAUUAGGCCGAGGGCACGCCUGCCUGGGCGUCACACGUCGUUGCCCCCCCAUCUACUCCUUCGGGAUUGCGGGGGGCGGAUGAUGGCCUCCGUGCGCCUCGCCGCGCGGUUGGCAUAAAUGCCAAGUCCUCGGCGACGCACGCCACGACAAUCGGUGGUUGCGAAACCUCGGUUGCCCGUCGUGUGCGGUCGUCGCGCAUCGAGGGCUCGAAAAAAUUGCCGGGUUCCGGCUCGGCUUUCAACGCGACCCCAGGUCAGGCGGGGUUACCCGCUGAAUUUAAGCAUAUCAAUAAGCGGAGGA
rnacentral:misc_RNA from 1 species